rnacentral:rRNA from 1 species
GGGGGGGGGGGGGGGGGGGGGGGGGGGAGGGGGGGGGGGGGGGGGCACAGUGGGGGCUGGGUCUUACGGGGGGGGGGGGGGGGGCGGGUGAGGAGUACAUCGGCAUCUACUUUUUCGUGGGGGAUAACGUAGGGAGACUUACGCUACUACCGCAUACGACCUACGGGUGAAAGCAGGGGCUCUUCGGACCUUGCGCGAUUGCAUGAGCCGAUGUCGGAUUAGCUAGUUGGCGGGGUAAAGGCGCACCAAGGCGACGAUCCGUAGCUGGUCUGAGAGGAUGAUCAGCCACACUGGAACUGAGACACGGUCCAGACUCCUACGGGAGGCAGCAGUGGGGAAUAUUGGACAAUGGGCGCAAGCCUGAUCCAGCCAUACCGCGUGGGUGAAGAAGGCCUUCGGGUUGUAAAGCCCUUUUGUUGGGAAAGAAAAGCAGCAGGUUAAUACCCCGCUGUUCUGACGGUACCCAAAGAAUAAGCACCGGCUAACUUCGUG